rnacentral:rRNA from 1 species
CAGUAGCGUAUAUUAAAGUUGUUGCGGUUAAAAAGCUCGUAGUCGAAUUUUUGUGAGAACCUCACCCGCGUUUCGACGCGUUUCGUGGUUUUUGCUUUAGCUUUUUCGGCGGUUUACCGUCCGGGAAAGCAUACUACUUUGAGGAAAUGAGAGUGUUUCAAGCAGGUGUUUGCCUUGAAUCUAUCAGCAUGGAAUGGUAACAUAGGACUUCGGUUCUUAGUCGGUCAGGAGCCGUAGUAAUGAUCAAUAGGAACAGUCGGGGGCGUUCAUACUCCGCAGUCAGAGGUGAAAUUCUUGGAUUUGCGGAAGAUGAACUACUGCGAAAGCAUUCGUCAAGGAUGUUUCCACUGA